UGCAAACUGCGAAUACCGGAGAAUGUUAUCACGGGAGACACACGGCGGGUGCUAACGUCCGUCGUGAAGAGGGAAACAACCCAGACCGCCAGCUAAGGUCCCAAAGUCAUGGUUAAGUGGGAAACGAUGUGGGAAGGCCCAGACAGCCAGGAUGUUGGCUUAGAAGCAGCCAUCAUUUAAAGAAAGCGUAAUAGCUCACUGGUCGAGUCGGCCUGCGCGGAAGAUGUAACGGGGCUAAACCAUGCACCGAAGCUGCGGCAGCGACGCUGAUGCGUUGUUGGGUAGGGGAGCGUUCUGUAAGCCUGUGAAGGUGUGCUGUGAGGCAUGCUGGAGGUAUCAGAAGUGCGAAUGCUGACAUAAGUAACGAUAAAGCGGGUGAAAAGCCCGCUCGCCGGAAGACCAAGGGUUCCUGUCCAACGUUAAUCGGGGCAGGGUGAGUCGACCCCUAAGGCGAGGCCGAAAGGCGUAGUCGAUGGGAAACAGGUUAAUAUUCCUGUACUUGGUGUUACUGCGAAGGGGGGACGGAGAAGGCUAUGUUGGCCGGGCGACGGUUGUCCCGGUUUAAGCGUGUAGGCUGGUUUUCCAGGCAAAUCCGGAAAAUCAAGGCUGAGGCGUGAUGACGAGGCACUACGGUGCUGAAGCAACAAAUGCCCUGCUUCCAGGAAAAGCCUCUAAGCAUCAGGUAACAUCAAAUCGUACCCCAAACCGACACAGGUGGUCAGGUAGAGAAUACCAAGGCGCUUGAGAGAACUCGGGUGAAGGAACUAGGCAAAAUGGUGCCGUAACUUCGGGAGAAGGCACGCUGAUAUGUAGGUGAAGCGACUUGCUCGUGGAGCUGAAAUCAGUCGAAGAUACCAGCUGGCUGCAACUGUUUAUUAAAAACACAGCACUGUGCAAACACGAAAGUGGACGUAUACGGUGUGACGCCUGCCCGGUGCCGGAAGGUUAAUUGAUGGGGUCAGCGCAAGCGAAGCUCUUGAUCGAAGCCCCGGUAAACGGCGGCCGUAACUAUAACGGUCCUAAGGUAGCGAAAUUCCUUGUCGGGUAAGUUCCGACCUGCACGAAUGGCGUAAUGAUGGCCAGGCUGUCUCCACCCGAGACUCAGUGAAAUUGAACUCGCUGUGAAGAUGCAGUGUACCCGCGGCAAGACGGAAAGACCCCGUGAACCUUUACUAUAGCUUGACACUGAACAUUGAGCCUUGAUGUGUAGGAUAGGUGGGAGGCUUUGAAGUGUGGACGCCAGUCUGCAUGGAGCCGGCCUUGAAAUACCACCCUUUAAUGUUUGAUGUUCUAACGUUGACCCGUGAUCCGGGUUGCGGACAGUGUCUGGUGGGUAGUUUGACUGGGGCGGUCUCCUCCUAAAGAGUAACGGAGGAGCACGAAGGUUGGCUAAUCCUGGUCGGACAUCAGGAGGUUAGUGCAAUGGCAUAAGCCAGCUUGACUGCGAGCGUGACGGCGCGAGCAGGUGCGAAAGCAGGUCAUAGUGAUCCGGUGGUUCUG
rnacentral:rRNA from 1 species